GAUGAACGCUGGCGGCGUGCUUAAUACAUGCAAGUCGAACGAAGAGCCUUUGUAGCAAUACGAGGGUUUCUUAGUGGCGAACGGGUGCGUAACGCGUUGGUGACCUGCCCCGAAGUGUGGGAUAACAGUUCGAAAGGACUGCUAAUACCGCAUGUGGACACGAGGGUUAGAGGCUUUGUGUCUAAAGCAGUAAUGCGCUUUGGGAGGGACCUGCGUCCCAUCAGUUAGUUGGUGAGGUAACGGCUCACCAAGGCGUCGACGGGUAAGGGACCUGAGAGGGUGGUCCCUCACAAUGGCACUGAAACACGGGCCAUACACCUACGGGAGGCAG
rnacentral:rRNA from 1 species